rnacentral:lncRNA from 1 species
GUAACUAGAUAUCAUUGAGAUGGGAGCCAUCUCUGUGGGCCCCGCUGUGAAUAAUGUGCAUUAAAAAAUUGUAUCUUUACCAUAGGACAUGGGUUUGUCAACUGAAAUCAAAGUUUUUGACCUUGACCUUUGACCUAGGAAGUUGUAAAUAAAUUAUGACACACCCUUUGGUGUUGGUUUAUAAACAUGUCAAGUAUAAACUUUGAAAUCAUAACGGUUCUCAAGAUAUAGAGCGGACACGAUCUUCACCACAGGACACAGGGUUGUCAACUGAAACCAAAGUUUUUGACCUUGAACUUUGCCCUAGGCAGUCGUUCAUAAAUUAUGACACACCCUCUGGUGUUGGUUCAUAUACAUGUCAAGUAUAAACUUUGAAAUCAUAACGGUUCUCAAGAUAUAAAGCGGACACGCUCUUCACCACAGGACAUGGGGUUGUCAACUGAAACCAAAGUUUUUGACCUUGAACUUUGCCCUAGGCAGUCGUUCAUAAAUUAUGACACACCCUCUGGUGUUGGUUCAUAAUGGUUCUCUAGAUAUGGAGCGGACACAAAGUGUUACGGACGGACGGACGGACAGACGGACGGACAGACGGACGGACGGACGGACAGACUGAUCACUAUAGGGCGACCCGCCUUUGGCGGGGCCCUAAU